rnacentral:piRNA from 1 species
GAACCUGAGGACCAAUGAAGUCAG